GGGCUCUAGGCGAUGGUGGUUGCUUUAAUCAGAGAUUUUAAGAGUAAAUUAAGGUUGGAUAAGGAAGAUCCUGGCGCUGGGUGGCACCCAGGCUCCCAGAGGUGGGCACGAGCCGGUGGUUAGACGCAGGGGAAACAGGCAGGCGCCUUCCCAGCCCCAGCCUGGCAUUCCUGGACCGUGGCAGCCGCCCCCAGGGGGCCAGGUCCCUGACCUCUGAAGCCGAGGCUGUGGGAUCCGAAGGAAGGCAGCCCCUGAGCAGAUGGUCUGUCACAGGAAGCCAAGCCGACCAGGGCCUUGCAGGCCGCUCCCUCGGGCUCUGCUACCUCAGGGCGGUAGGUAGUCCCAGGGGCAAGUCCGGGAGUGGAUAAAGCUAGGAAGAGGUACCAUGGAAGUGCAGAAGCUGUUCCCCGGCACCGGCACCGGCACCGGCACCGGCCCCGAGCCUGAGCCCGAGCCCAACCAGGAGGCCCCGCGGACAGCAGUGAAGAGGGAAUGCUGGUGGCAGGCCUGGGCGGAGAAGCCAGUCACCUUGGAGGACGUGGCCGUGCACUUCACCCCGGAGGAGUGGCGUGUCUGGACGCCCGUCAGAGGCCCUCUACCAGGAGGUCAUGUCCGAGACCUUCAAAACCCUGGUGUC